rnacentral:lncRNA from 1 species
GAUGACCGCAGGCGGGAGCUUGAAGGGGACCGCGCGAGGAGAGCCCCUUUCUGUCCUGGCAACUUACAAGAUUAAAAUUAAAUUUGGUUGAUGAUGGUUCUGGACAAAUACAGCUCUUUUAUUUGAGGUAUGCCAUUUUGAAGACAGACCCGUGGAAUUUUAUCCUUGAGGAUAGGGGAAAUCUUUGUGAAAGUCUGUAUUUUAUAAAGCAACAAUAUGAAUCCUGAGGCUGAAUUGUCUAAGGGGCCUGUACAGCGAAAUAGAUGUAAGUUUUACUCAAUUUACAUGUUUAAUUUGUUUUUUACUUUUACAUGUGACUUUGGAAAUUCUGAGUAAUUGAGUCAGAGUCUCUAAAAAUGUAGAAGAAUUUAGUGAAGUUCCAAGCAGUACAGAUAUAAAUCAACAUAGAUGUAUGUGGCUUAUUAUUAAAAUUUUGGUUAUUAUUCCAACCUCUUUUCCUUUCUUUACUUAAAGAGAGGUAUAAAUGGAUGGAAGGAAACUCACAUUUGAACAUUCUUCUAAUACUGCACCCUAGCUGUUGGUAAGCUCCCCAUUUUUAUAAAUAAAGUUUUAUUGGAACACAGCUAAGCUCUUUCAUUUACGUAUUAGCUGUGUCUGCUUUCUGACUACAGCUGCAGAGAGUAGAUUUAGCUAAUGGCCACAAACCCUAACAUAUUUAGUUAUUUAGUAUUUUAACCUGUAAGGAAAUCUUGCCUAUCCUUUCCCUAGAUUCAUCCUUUUUGUCAACUUUAUGUAGAACUCAAAAGCACUUGGAUUCUCUUAAUAAUGGGGGUGUACCUUUUACUUUGUUAGUAUUUCAUUGUUAGAAUUCAAAUAACAUAAGUAAUCAUGAGCUUGGCUUAAACUCCAAAGCCCAACAAAGGUUCUUUCACACCAGCAUUAUGCUUUAAUAUUAGAAGAUUUGGGGAGUUCCUGGUGUGGCACAGUGGAAAUGAAUCAACUAGUAUAGUAUCCAUGAGGAUUUGGGUUCUAUCCCCGGCCUCACUCAGUGGAUUAAGGAUUUGGAGUUGCUGUGAGCUGUGGUGUAGGCCAGCAGCUGCAGCUCUGAUUCGACCCCUAGUCUAGGAACUUCCUUAUGACACAGGUAUGGCCCCAAAAAGCAAAAAAAAAAAAAAAA